rnacentral:rRNA from 1 species
UAUAAUGGGUCAGCGACUUAUAUUCUGUAGCAAGGUUAACCGUAUAGGGGAGCCGAAGGGAAACCGAGUCUUAACUGGGCGUUAAGUUGCAGGGUAUAGACCCGAAACCCGGUGAUCUAGCCAUGGGCAGGUUGAAGGUUGGGUAACACUAACUGGAGGACCGAACCGACUAAUGUUGAAAAAUUAGCGGAUGACCUGUGGCUGGGGGUGAAAGGCCAAUCAAACCGGGAGAUAGCUGGUUCUCCCCGAAAGCUAUUUAGGUAGCGCCUCGUGAACUCAUCUUCGGGGGUAGAGCACUGUUUCGGCUAGGGGGCCAUCCCGGCUUACCAACCCGAUGCAAACUACGAAUACCGAAGAAUGUUAUCACGGGAGACACACGGCGGGUGCUAACGUCCGUCGUGAAGAGGGAAACAACCCAGACCGCCAGCUAAGGUCCCAAAGUCAUGGUUAAGUGGGAAACGAUGUGGGAAGGCCCAGACAGCCAGGAUGUUGGCUUAGAAGCAGCCAUCAUUUAAAGAAAGCGUAAUAGCUCACUGGUCGAGUCGGCCUGCGCGGAAGAUGUAACGGGGCUAAACCAUGCACCGAAGCUGCGGCAGCGACACUAUGUGUUGUUGGGUAGGGGAGCGU